GCGAGCUUAGCGCAGUUGGUAGCGCGUUAGUCUCAUAAUCUAAAGGCCGCGAGUUCGAGUCUCGCAGUUCGCA
rfam:Spraguea lophii 42_110 Contig_12402_1, whole genome shotgun sequence.